CGACGUGAGGAACCUGCCUCAAAGAGGGGGACAACAGUUGGAAACGACUGCUAAUACCGCAUAAGCCCACGGCUCGGCAUCGAGCAGAGGGAAAAGGAGUGAUCCGCUUUGAGAUGGCCUCGCGUCCGAUUAGCUAGUUGGUGAGAUAACUGCCCACCAAGGCGACGAUCAGUAGCCGACCUGAGAGGGUGAUCGGCCACAUUGGAACUGAGACACGGUCCAA
rnacentral:rRNA from 1 species